UACGUAGGGGGCUAGCGUUGUCCGGAAUCAUUGGGCGUAAAGAGCGUGUAGGCGGCCCGGUAAGUCCGCUGUGAAAGUCGGGGGCUCAACCCUCGAAUGCCGGUGGAUACUGUCGGGCUAGAGUGCGGAAGAGGCGAGUGGAAUCUGGUGUAGCGGUGAAAUGCGCAGAUAUCAGGAGGAACACCGAUUGCGAAGGCAGCUCGCUGGGACGUAACUGACGCUGAGACGCGAAAGCGUGGGGAGCAAACAGG
rnacentral:rRNA from 1 species